GGAGAGGUGGCAGAGUCCGGUUGAACGCGGUAGUCUUGAAAACUAUUGAAGGUGUGAGCCUUCCGGGGGUUCGAAUCCCUCCCUCUCCGCCA
rnacentral:tRNA from 5 species